CCACCAUCCUUUGAGUCACAACAAAGCCACUGUAAUUCCCAUCUCUUCAUAAUUCAUGGUUUUUUCUUUUCUUUUUCUCUGUAAACCUCAAAAGUUUCCAUUUUUCUGACAUGGGUAUCUCUUAUUUUCUUUGUUUUUCUUAGUUUUCAUCUCCUUUUGUCUCUUUGGACUUGUCACUUUGGUGGGUUAUACCUGAUGUGUAUGUGGGGUGUCAUCACUAUUGGGCUUGUGUUGAAGAAUCUGUGAAGUGGGGUGUUGUUAUGUUGUGGUGCGGCUUGUGUUGUUCUUUAUGCGUUUUCUAGCUUUUGGGGUUUGUUGCGGAUACAUCUUGUGUUUUGUGGAUUGGUUUUUGGGUUGGAGAUGUUGGGUUCAGGUACCAAUUUGGUGACCACGGUUAUUGGGUUUGGCAUGAGUGCCACUUUCAUUGUGUUUGUCUGCACCAGAAUAAUUUGUGGAAGGCUACGAGGGGGUGUUGAGUCUCGGAUGAUGUAUGAGAUUGAUUCAAGAAUUGAUUUAGAACAGAACAUCAUGUUAAUGACACUGAACCUGAACCUGUUCUGCUUGAUGCAAUCCCCACUUUGAAGUUCAACCAAGAGGCUUUCAGCUCUAUUCAAGAUACACAGUGUGUAAUAUGUUUGGCAGAUUACAAAGAAAGAGAAGUGUUGCGCAUCAUGCCUAAAUGCGGCCACAGUUUUCAUCUUUCUUGCAUAGAUAUAUGGCUGAGAAAACAAUCUACAUGUCCGGUAUGCCGUCUGCCAUUGAAAAACUCUUCUGAAACAAAGCAUGUGAGACCUGUGACAUUUACCAUGAGCCAAACUCCUGAUGACUCUCACUCAUCAGAAAGGAAUGAAGAUAUUGAGAGACAUGUUGAACCUACUGCUAGUAACUCCUUGCAACCAUCUUCUGGGGAACCAGAAGCUAGGCAAUGAUCUAAGAGAGCUAAAGGGCUUGUUCUGCUCAAAAAGAUAAAAGUGUAGAAUUUGUGCUUCUAUAGAGGAAUGCUUCUAAUUAUAAAUUGGAUUCAUAUUCUUUGUCUGUAAUAUGGCCUUCAUAUUCACUUGGUGGUGUAAAUAUGUUUUCCUUUUGUGGCAUAUGCAGGCCAAGGUUUUGGUGGGAUUUCUUGCAUACCAAGUUGAAGUUUUUUUGUCAUUGCAUCACCUACUCAAACAAGAACAUUACUCUUUUUAUGCAUUACAGAUUAAACAAAUGUCUGAAUUCAAUUUUUUUUUCCUUGUACAAUUACUUUUCAGCAGCAACUUUUUUCUUGUCAUUGGUCGUAUCUAGAAAAUUUGGAUAGUGGGAUAAUAUGUAUCAAUGUGAAAGAAAUGAAAUUAUUAGAAAAAUAAAAGCAUUGCUAUUUACAUGUUUUAAUUGUUUUAACAUGUUGUAUAGUGUUUAUUUUUCCAACUAGAGAAUAUACUGGUAUCUGAUAGCUGAUUAUGCUACCAUUUCUCCCAUUUACUGCAGAUCCAAUUUUUAUAAUAGUAUUUAUAGCAGAAAGUUCUUCCAUUUAUUUGCAUCAGCAAAUGGUUAUACCAAAUAUAUCUUCAAACAGGC